UUUUUUUUUGUGUGUCGUACAAGAUGAGACACUAAAAUAAUUAAUGACGGUCGUCGUUCACUAUUGAGAGAGAGGACCACACCAUCGGAAACAUUCUUCGCAUACAGUUGCACAAGAGACGAAAAUGUUCUCUUUGCAGGCUACAAGCUUCCUUAUCCUCUCCAAUAUAAAAUCCUUGUUAGGAUUCACACGACUAGCCAGUCUUCGCCAAGCAAGUAUAUAACCAAGCUAUCAAUGAUCUAGACAAGGAACUUGACCAUUUGAAGAACGCAUUUGAGUACCAACUUAGCAAUCCAGAGGGCUGAGAUGUCGAAGUUUUCUCAGUACUACUAGCUCGCGGAUUAGUUGAUUGCGUUUGAUGGCAAUUUGGAUAAAGACAAUGAUUUCGAUGGGUUUUGUCAGUGCUGGUUGUAAUUAAGUAAUGGGAUGGGUUUUGUCAGUGCUGGUUGUAAUUAAGUAAUGGGUUGUAGGAGAUGAUCAAAUGUUAAAUUUUAAUUGUGACAAAUUUUAAUCAACUUAUGUCAUCCUGAUCUGUUUGUCUUAACGAGACCUUAUUAAACCUUUCCUUGGA